rnacentral:rRNA from 1 species
UACGUAGGGUGCGAGCGUUAAUCGGAAUACUGGGCGUAAAGCGUGCGCAGGCGGUAUGUAAGACAGUUGUGAAAUCCCGGGCUCAACCUGGGAAUUGCAUCUGUGACUGCAUAGCUAGAGUACGGUAGAGGGGGGUAGAAUUCCACGUGUAGCAGUGAAAUGCGUAGAUAUGUGGAGGAACACCGAUGGCGAAGGCAGCCCCCUGGGUCAAGAUUGACGCUCAUGCACGAAAGCCGUGGGGAGCAAAAGGG